AGGUUUGAUAUCUGUACAGAGAGUCCGGUUAGAUUUGUUGCAACUCUGUGGAUGAUUCUUUUUAAUCUCACAUCGGUUGGAAAGGAGAACGAAAUAUACCUUGAAAAGAGUGUGGAUACCUUUCCCUUGAGACAUGUUUUAACAAAACCGUGCAGGCUGGGCUCAAAGCGGAUAAUAUAUCUUGCGAGUGGACUGGGUUGUUACAGUUGGUAUCAGAGCCAGAUUCGGAUAGGUGUGCUAGCAAGGAUGCUGGGCCCCAAGGGGGGUGGAUUGUGAGAUCCCACAUCAGUCGAAAAAGGGAAUGAAGCAUACCUUAAAAGAGGAUGUGGAUACCUUUCCCUUGAGACGCAUUUUGACAAAACCUUACGGGCUGGACUUAAAGCGGACAAUAUCUCAUGCGGGUAGACUGGGCUAUUAUAUUUUCUAUCUUAUCUUGAAAUGGAAAAGUAAAAAAAUUCGUUGUACUUAAAUAGAGGAUUCUUGAAUUCCAAUGAAAUUGUUUUCUAAGUGAACUAGUAAAUGUAGUUAAUUUUUAAUUUAGUCUAAGAUCACUGCACUUAAUUAUGUAAUUCUCUCAUGUCCUACAAAUACUUUUUCCUUUUUCCUAUGUUGCUUACUUUUCUCAC